ensembl:lncRNA novel transcript
AAGAGGACCUGUGCGGAGCUGAAGACAGACGCCUCAAAUCGCGGGGGCACAGGGAGAGCGGUCAGAUGUCCUGCAGGCAGAACCCCAGGGGAACCACUCCCAGGGGUGAAACCGUGCUGACUCGGAGGUAGUGUGCCACUUGGAAGCAGUGGGACCGUCUGGUGGUAGAUGCUUCACUUCUUCAUUUAUGACUCCACAUUCGUGGAAGAGAGCAAAGAACAAACCUAUUUCUGAAAUGUUUCUGGCUUCCAUAUGCCUCUGGCUUUUAGGAAAGCACAAGUGGCCUGCUUGGGGUCCCUCCUGGCUUGCUGGACUUCCCGUCACUUUUUGCCUGUCGUCUUCCAUGGUUCCUGCAUGGAUCUUGUUGCCUCAGGACCAAGCUGCCUUUGCUUUUCCACAAUGUCCAUGACUAUGUGGGGAAGGAAAUGGACCCUCAUGCUGACAGCGCAUGUCCACGUUACUAGUUUCCUUUAGAAAACCAUCUCCAAUGGGCCAGGCACGGUGGCUCAUGACUGUAAUCCCAGCACUUUGGGAGGCCAAGGCUGGCAGAUCACAAGGUCAUGAAAUCGAGACCAGCCUGACCAACAUGGUGAAACCCCAUCUCUACUAAUAAUACAAGAAUUAGCUGGGCAUGGUGGCACGCACCUGUAAUCCCAGCUACUCAGGAGGCUGAGGCAGGAGAAUUGCUUGAACCCGGGAGGUGGAGGUUGCAGUGAGCCGAGAUUGCGCCACUGCACUCCAGCCUGGUUAGGGAGCGAGACUGGUCUCAGAAAAAAAAAAAAAAAAGAAAGAAAACCAUCUCCAACCUUAACUCCAGGGGCGCCAUUCAUACCCUGUUCUAUAGAACCUGCCCAAGGUGUGCUCCUGAAGAAAGGGAAGGUGCUGACCUAAUGGCUCCGAGAACAGUAUUUUUGAUAAAGUGCAGUCUCUCAGCAAGUGUCCUCAAAGUGCUGGCCUUGCUCAUGCAGUAGAGCUGGGAAAGCUUAUUUGGGACUUGGGUACCACAUAAGAAAUAAAGAGGGAAUGUCAUACUAGCAGGACUUUUGACAAAAAAAGCCUGGUAUGAGAGGCCCUGACACUAAUAUGAUUCCUAUUCUCACUCAAGUUAAUAGAUCAUUUAACCAAUAGCAAAAAGAACCGGAAGUGUCCUCCCAAAGAGUACACUAUGGAAAGGGUGGGGGGAUGGAGUACCUUUACAGUGGAGAAAAGUACCCUUACACCACCUCUGCAGGGGAUCUAGGUCAACAUCAGCAGUUACAAGUUACAUUGACAGCAUGUGGCCUUGAUAUGAUGUGAUGAGAAUGGCUCUUCACCCCUGUGGUCUUCCUCCACAAAACCCAUAGCCCCAGUUAAAUCAUGAAAAAAGCAUCAGACAGACCCCAAUUGUGACCAGCACUCCUCAAAAUUAUCAGGGUCCUCAAAAAAAGGAAAGUCUGAGAAACUGUCACAGUCAAGAGGAGCCUCAGGAGACAAUGAAAACUAAGUGUCAUGUGGAAGUUUGAACAGAAUCCUGGAACAGAAAAUGGACAUCAGGUAAAAACUAAGAAAAUCUAGAUAGUGUGGACUUCAGUGAAUAACAAUGUGUUGAUAUUGAUUCAUUAAUUGUGACAAAUCCACUACGCUAAUUGCCUUAGUCUGUUCAGGCUGCAAUAACAAAAUACCAUGGACUGAGUGGCUUAUACACAACAGAAAUUUAUUUCUCACAGUUCUGGAUGCUGGGAAGUCUAAGACCAAGGCACUGCCAGAUUUGGUGUCUGGUGAAGGUCCAUCUCCUGGUCCAAACAUGGCUCCUUCUCACUGUGUCUUCCCAUGGUGGAAGGGACAAGAAUUUCUAAUUCCACUCAUGAGUGCUCUGAUCCCAAGACCUAAUCACCUACCAAAGCCCCCACCUUCUGAUAGCAUUACCUUGGGGCUUAGGAUUUGAACAUAUGAACUGGGGAGGACUCUGGGGAAACACAUUUAAACCACAGCACUAAUGUAGGAUGUUAAUAAUAAAGGAAACUGGGUGUGGGGUUUAUGGAAACUCUCUUAACUUGGUAUGAGGUAUAUGCAAACUCUCUUUAAUAUCUUCAGAAUUUUCCUGUAAACUUUAACUUUAAUCUGAACUUCUAAAAAUUAUAGUUAUACACGCAUACACAGAGAGAGAGAGAGAGAGAGCGAGAGAGAGAGAGAGAGAGAGAGAGAAGUUAUACAUAGCCUUCGUGUUGCAGGUCUAGCCUACACUUCUAGCCUUAUUCCCCCUGUUUAAACCUUAUAAGUCAGCCAAUAUAAUGAAAUUUCCUUAAGGUCAAGAUGCUACUAUGUUUAUUCUCCAAAAAAUUUGAAAAAUAAAUGAGUUUUCUUAAUUUCUUAGAAGACUCAAUAAAGUUGAGAUCAUAAAGUGUAAGUUAAGGAAGAAUUCUACCUGAAGAGACUCAUGAAACAAAAAUGAUGGUGAGGAAAGGGAGUGCUGUUUCAUUGACUAGAAAAGAAUUAGCAAAUUAAUCAGCACAUUGCCUUUUAAAUGUUCCACUUCAAGAGAUGCACACAUUUUCAGGCCCAAUGGUAUCGUCACUUCCAAUAAAGCUUUAUUGGUGGUAUCUGGAGAACGCUAUCCUAUUAUAUCCUUGGCUAAGCUCACAUAUGAGAGACUCUUUAAAGGAACAAUGCAAUAGUCUUGAUAUUCAUUGCAGACACUGGUUCUUGCCUACUCAAUAAUUAUUCCCUCACCUUCCUGACAAAGAACCCGACUUGUUCAGGUAUCUCACAAUGUGCUCAGGAAAGGUGGGCUCUUCCCCAGGUCCAUGUGGUUAACCAGAACUGCUCUAAAACAUCGUGAGAAUCCCAUUCACCUUUGCCAGUGAUUGGUUUAAGGGUAGGGAGAUUACCCAAUUCUGAACAAUGAUAUAGGAGAAGAAAGAAAUUUACUAGGGGAUUGAUGGGAACAGGUUAUUUUGUUCACUAUACAGGGACACAUAGUGAGAGGUGACAAUGUGCUAGCAGCCCUCACUCACUCUCAGCACCUCCUCAAGUGUGGGCGUGUGGCGUGGGACUGGCAGGCAGCUCUGCCCAUGGCCCCGAUGUGGGAUCCACUAGGCGAAGCCAGCUGGGCUCCUGAGUCAGGUGGGGACUUGGAGAACUUUUAUGUCUAGCUAAAGGUUUGUAAAUGCACCAAUUAGCACUUUGUGUCUAGCUCAAGGUUUGUAAAUGCACCAAUCAGCACCCUGUGUCUAGCUCAAGGUUUGUAAAUGCACCAAUCAGUGCUCUGUGUCUAGCUAAUCUAGUGGGGACUUGGAGAACUUUUACAUCUAGCUAGAGGAUUGUAAAUACACCAAUCAGCACUCUGUGUCUAGUUCAGGGAUUGUAAAUGCACCAAUCAGCACCCUGUCAAAACAGACCAAUCAGCUCUCUGUAAAACGGACCAAUCAGUUCUCUGUAAAAUGGGCCAAUCAGCAGGAUGUGGGUGGGGUCAGAUAAAGGAAUAAAAGCAGGCUGCCCAAGCCAGCAGUGGCAACCCGCUGGGGUGCCCUUCCACACUGUAGAAGCUCUGUUCUUUCGCUCUUUGCAAUAAAUCUUGCUGCUGCUAACUCUUUGGGUCCACACUGCCUUUAUGAGCUGUAACACUCACCGCGAAGGUCUGCAACUUCACUCCUGAAGCCAGCGAGACCACGAACCCACCAGAAGGAAGAAACUCAGAACACAUCUGAACAUCAGAAGGAACAAGCGCUGGACCCACCACCUUUAAGAACUGUAACACUCCCCACGAGAGUCCACAGCUUCAUUCUUGAAGUCAGUGAGACCAAGAACCCACCAAUUCCGGACGCUUUUUGGCGACCCAGAUGGGACUAUCGCCUAUCACCAAGUCGUGAGACCAUUGCCUAUCACUGAGUGGUGAGACUGUCACCUAUCGCCAAGCAGUGAGUACCAUCAGACCCCUUUUGCUUGCUAUUCUGUCGUAUUUUUCCUUAGAAUUUGGGGGCUAAAUACCGGGCACCUGUCGGCCAGUUAAAAGCGACUAGCAUGGCCGCUGGACUAAAGAAACGGGUGUCAAGCUUUCUGGUAAAGGGCUUUCUAACAACCCCCGACUCUUCGGAAUUGGGAGCGUUGGUUUGCCUGGAACCAGCUUCCGCUUUUCCUGUACUUCUGGGCUGAGUCGAGGGUCAACAGAGAGGAAAGCCUUGCAGCUCCGGGGUCCCAACAACAAGUUGGUUGAUCCUGUGGCCAUGAGUGGAACUCUCAAAGGCAUGUCGCCCAAGCGAGACUCGCCCAUCUAUCCUAUCUAUCCUGACCCUUGCCCCCUGGGUCCUAAUGCCUGCCAGACAAACUUCCUCUCACCUCUCUUCUCCGAGGCUAGUCCCACUUCUAAAAAUUGCUCCCUGUCUCUGGUGGUUUUCUAGUUUCCCCUAUAAGAAUGAUUUCUAGUAUAAACUCCAGGACUCUGUUAUGUUCUUUAGGCACCCAGGCUGACCAAUCAGAAAGACAUAAUUUUUGCCCAAAGCCCUGUCGUAUGGGGGACUACCUGGAAUUUUAGGAUCCCUCCUCAGACUAGCAAGCCUAACAAAAGCUAUUCCUGAAGCUAGGAUAUGGGGAGCCACAGAAAUUUUAUCCUUCCUAUUCAUAUAAGUGAGGAUAAAAGGUGUCACUCUUCCAACCCUGGAGAUCCCUUCCCUCCCUCAGGGUAUGGCCCUCCACUUCAUUUUUGGGGCAUGACAUCUUUAUAGGACAUGGGUAAGGUCCCAUUACUAACAGGGGAAUGCUUAGGACUCUAACAGGUUUUCGAGAAUGUGUCGGUAAGGGCCACUAAAUCCGAUUUUUCUCGGUCCCCCUUGUGGUCCAGGAGGACAGGCAAGGGUUUAGGUUUUUGAGAAUGCAUCAGUAAGGGCCACUAAAUCCGACCUUCCUUGGUCCUUCAUGUGGUCUGGGAGGAAAACUAGUGUUUCUGCUGCUGCGUCGGUGAGCGCAACUAUUCCGAUUAGCAGGGUCCAGGGACCUUUGCGGGUUCUUGGGUAAGGGUUGUUUCUGCUGCUGUGUCCGUGAGCACAACUAUUCUGAUCAGCAGGGUCCAGGGACCGUUGCGGGUUCUUGGGCAGGGGGAGAAACAAAACAAACCAAAACCGCAGGCAGUUUUGUCUUUCAGAUGGGAAACACUCAGGCAUCAACAGGCUCACCCUUGAAAUGCAUCCUAAGCCAUUGGGAUCAAUUUGACCCACAAACCCUGAAGCUCAUUUUUUUCUGCACUAUGGCUUGGCCCCAAUAUACCCUCUCUGAUGGGGAAAAAUGACCACCUGAGGGAAGUACAAAUUACAAUACUAUCCUGAAGCUUGAUCUUUUCUGUAAGAGGGAAGGCAAAUGGAGUGAAAUACCUUAUGUCCAAGCUUUCUUUUCAUUGAGGGAGAAUACACAACUAUGCAAAGCUUGCAAGUUACAUCCCACAGGAGGACCUCUCAGCUUACCCCCAUAUCCUAGCCUCCCUAUAGCUCCCCUUCCUAUUAAUGAUAAUCCUCUUCUAAUCUCCCCUGCCCAGAAGGAAAUAAGCAAAGAAAUAUCCAAAGCACCACAAACCCCCCCCCGGGCUAUCGGUUAUGUCCCCUUCAAGCUGUAGGGGGAGGGGAAUUUGGCCCAACCCAGGUACAUGUCCCCUUCUCCCUCUCUGACUUAAAGCAGAUCAAGGCAGACCUGGCAAAGUUUUCAGAUGAUCCUGAUAGGUACCUAGAUGUCCUACAGGGUCUAGGGCAAACCUUCGACCUCGCUUGGAGAGAUGUCAUGCUACUGUUAGAUCAAACCCUGGCCUUAAUGAAAAGAAUGAAGCUUUAGCUGCAGCCUGAGAGUUUGGAGAUACGUGGUAUCUUAGUCAAGUAAAUGAUAGAAUGACAACCAAAGAAAGGGAUAAAUUCCCUACCGGUCAGCAAGCCAUCCCCAGUAUGGAUCCCCACUGGGACCUUGACUCAGAUCAUGAGGACUGGAGUUGUAAACAUCUUUUGACCUGUGUUCUAGAAGGACUAAGGAGAAUUAUUAAAAAGCCCAUGAAUUAUUCAAUGAUGUCCACCAUAACUCAGGGAAAGGAAGAAAAUCCUUCUGCCUUCCUCGAGUGACUAUGGGAGGCCUUAAGAAAAUAUACUCCCCUGUCACCUGAAUCACUCGAGGGUCAAUUGAUUCUAAAAGAUAAGUUUAUUACCCAAUCAGCCACAGAUAUCAGGAGAAAGUUCCAAAAGCAAGCCCUGGGCCCUGAAAAAAAUUUGGAGGCAUUAUUAAACCUGGUAACCUUGGUGUUGUAUAAUAGGGACCAAGAGGAACAGGCCCAAAAGGAAAAGCGAGAUCAGAGAAAGGCUGCAGCCUUAAUCAUGGCCCUCAGACAAACAAACCUUGGUGGCUCAGAGAGGACAGAAAAUGGAGCAGGCCAAUCACCACCCAGUAGGGCUUAUUAUCAGUGUGGUUUAUUAGGACACUUUAAAAAAAGAUUGUCCAAUGAGACACAAGCUGUCCCCUCAUCCAUGUCCACUAUGCCGAGGCAAUCACUGGAAGGUACACUGCCCCAGAGGACAAAUGUUCUCUGGGUCAGAAGCCCCCAACCAGAUGAUCCGACAACAGGACUGAGGGUGCCCGGGGCAAGCGCCAGCUCAUGUCAUCACCCUCACUGAACCCCAGGUAUGCUUAACCAUUGAGGGCCAGGAAAUUGACUUCCUCCUGGACACUGGUGUGGCCUUCUCAGUGUUAAUCUCCUGUUCUGGACGACUGUCCUCAAGGUCCGUUACCAUCCGAGGAAUCCUGGGACAGCCUGUAACCAGGGAUUUCUUCCACCUCCUCAGUUGUAAUUGGGAGACUUUGCUCUUUUCACAUGCCUUUCUUGUUAUGCCUGAAAGUCCCACACCCUUAUUAGGGAGAGAUAUAUUAGCCAAGGCUGGAGCUAUUAUCUACAUGAAUAUGGGGAAGAAGUUACCCAUUUGUUGUCCUCUACUUGAGGAGGGAAUCAACCCUGACGUCUGGGCAUUGGAAGGACAAUUUGGAAGGGCAAAAAAAUGCCUGCCCAGUCCAAAUCAGGUUAAAAGAUCCCGCCACUUUUCCUUAUCAAAGGCAAUAUCCCUUAAGGCCUGAAGCUCAUAAAGGUUUACAUGAUAUUGUUAAACAUUUAAAAGCUCAAGCUUAGUAAGGAAAUGCAGCAGUCUUUGCAACACCCCAAUUCUAGGAGUACAAAAGCCGAAUGGUCAGUGGAGAUUAGUGCAAGAUCUUAGACUCAUCAAUGAGGCAGUAAUUCCUCUAUAUCCAGUUGUACCCAACCCCUAUACCCUGCUCUCUCAAAUACCAGAAGAAGCAGGAUGGUUCACAGUUCUGGACCUUAAGGAUGCUGCCUUCUGUCUUCCCCUGCACUCUGACUCCCAGUUUCUCUUUGCCUUUGAGGAUCCCACAGACCACACAUCACAACUUACUUGGAUGAUCUUGCCCCAAGGGUUUAGGGAUAGCCCUCAUCUGUUUGGUGAGGCACGGCCCAAGAUCUAGGCCACUUCUAAAGUCCAGGCACUCUGGUCCUUCAGUAUGUGGAUGAUUUACUUUUGGCUACCAUUUCAGAAGCCUCAUGCCAGCAGGCUACUUUAGAUCUCUUGAACUUUCUAGCUAAUCAAGGAUAGAGGGGUCUAGGUCGAAGACCCAGCUUUGCCUACAGCAGGUCAAAUAUCUAGACCUAAUCUUAGCCAGAGGGACCAGGGCCCUCAGCAAGGAAUGAAUACAGCCUAUACUGGCUUAUCCUUGCCCUAAGACAUUAAAACAGUUGCGGGGGUUCCUUGGAAUUACUGGCUUUUGCUGACCAUGGAUCCCCAGAUACAGCGAGAUAGCCAGGCCCCUCUAUACUCUAAUCAAGGAAACCCAGAGGGCAAAUAUUCAUCUAGUAGAAUGGGAACCAGAGGCAGAAACAGCCUUCAAAACCUUAAAGCAGGCCCUCGCACAAGCUCCAGUUUUAAGCCUUCUGACAGGACAAAACUUCUCUUUAUACGUCACAGAGAGAGCAGGGAUAGCUCUUGGAGUCCUUACUCAGACUCGUGGGACAACCACACAACCAGUGGCAGGUAUACAUAAGUAAGGAAAUUGAUGUAGUAUCAAAAGGCUGGCCUCACUGUGGUGGUGGCCAUCUUAGUGUCAGAGGCUAUCAAGAUACUACAAGGAAAAGAUCUCACUGUCUGGACUACUCAUGAUGUAAAUGGCACACUAGGUGCCAAAGGAAGUUUAUGGCUAUCAGACAACCACCUACUUAGAUACCAGGCACUACUUCUUGAGAGACUGGUGCUUCAAAUAUGCAUGUGCGUGGCCCUCAACCCUGCCACUUUUCUCCCAGAGGAUGGGGAACCAAUUGAGCAUGGCUGCCAACAAAUUAUAGUCCAGACUUAUGCCACCCGAGAUGGUCUCUUAGAAGUCCCCUUAGCUAAUCCUGACCUUAACCUAUAUACCAAUGGAAGUUCAUUUGUGAAGAAUGGGAUACGAAGGGCAGGUUACACCAUAGUUAGUGAUGUAACUGUACUUGAAAGUAAGCCUCUUCCCCCAGGGACAAGUGCCCAGUUAGCAGAACUAGUGGCACUUACCCGAGCCUUAGUACUGGGAAAGGGAAAAAGAAUAAAUGUGUAUACAGAUAGCAAGUAUGCUUAUGUAAUCCUACAUGCCCAUGCUGCAAUAUGGAAAGAAAGGGAGUUCCCAACCUCGGGGAACCCCCAUUAAAUGCCACAAGGAAAUCAUGGAGUUACUGUACAUAGUGCAAAAACCGAAGAAGGUGGCAGUCUUACACUGCCAAAGCCAUCAAAAGGGGAAGGAGAAGGGAGAACAGCAGCAUAAGCAUAUGGCAGAGGCAGAAGAAAUGAAAGACAGAAAGAGACAAGAAGUCAGAGAGGAAGAGAUAGAGAGACAAAGAGAGAAAGAGAAAGACAGGAAGUCAAAGAGAAGGAGACAGAGAGAGGAAGAGACAGACAGAGGCAGUCAGAAAGAGAGAGACGAAGAAGUCAAAGACAGAGAUAGAAGUAGUAAAGAAAAAACAGUGUAUCCUAUUCCUUUAAAAGCCAGGGUAAAGUUCUGUCUACCCAGCCAAGGUAUAUUCUUCCUAUGUGGAAUGUGGACCUACAUCUGCCUCCCCACUAACUGGAUAGGCACCUGCACCUUAGUCUUUCUAAGUCCCAACAUUAACAUUGCCCCAGGAAAUCAGAGCCUAUCAGUACCCCUCAAAACUCAAGUCUGUCAGUGCAGAGCCAUACAACUGAUACCACUACUUACAGGGUUAGGAAUAGUUACUGCUACAGGAACCGGAAUAGCCAGUUUAUCUACUUCAUUAUCCUACUACCAGACACUCUCAAAGGAUUUUUCAGACAGUUUGCAAGAAAUAACGAAAUCUAUCCUUACUCUACAAUCCCAAAUAGACUCUUUGACAGCAGUGACUCUCCAAAACCACCGAGGCCUAGACCUCCUCACUGCUGAGAAAGGAGGACUCUGCACCUUCUUAGGGGAAGACUGUUGUUUUUACACUAACCAGUCAUGGAUAGUGUGAGAUGCCACCCGGUGUUUACAGGAAAAGGCUUCUGAAAUCAGGCAACGUCUUUCAAACUCUUAUACCAACCUCUGGAGUUGGGCCACAUGGCUUCUCCCUCCCCUUUCUAGGUCCUGUGGCAGCCAUCUUGCUGUUACUUGCCUUUGGGCCCUGUAUUUUUAACCUUCUUGUCAAAUUUGUUUCCUCUAGAAUCGAGGCCAUCAAGCUACAGAUGGUCUUACAAAUGGAACCCCAAAUGAGUUCAACUAACAACUUCUACCGAGGACACCUGGACUGACCUGCUGGCCCUUCCACUGGCCUAAAGAGUUCCCCUCUGGAGGACACUACAACUGCAGGGCCCCUUCAUCACCCCUAUCCAGCAGGAAGUAGCUAGAGCAGUCAUCGGCCAAAUUCCCAACAGCAGUUGGAGUGUCCAGUUUAGAGGGGGGAUUGAGAGGUGACAAUGUGCUAGCAGCCCUCGCUCACUCUCAGUGCCUCCUCAGCCUCGGCGUCCACUCUGGCCAUGCUCAAGGAGCCCUUCAGCCCACCACUGCACUGUGGGGGCCCCUCUUUGGGCUGGCUGAGGCCAGAGCCGGCUCCCUCUGUUUGUGGGGAGGUGUGGAGGGAGAGGCAUGGGCAGGAACUGGGGCCAGCACGAGUUCCGGGUGGGCGUGGGCUCAGCUGUGGAGGGUGCACCGGGUCCCCCAGCACUGUUGGCCCACCUGUGCCAUGCUCAAAUUCUUGCCGGGCCUCAGCCGCCUCCCUGCGGGGCAGGGCUUGGGACCUGCAGCCCGCCAUGCCCUAACCCCCCCUGCUCCACGGAGCCUGGUCCCAUCGACUACACAAUGGCAAAGGAGUGUGGGCACGCAGCAUGGGAUGGUCGGGCAACUCCUCACGUGGCCCUGGAGCGGGAUCCACUAGGCGAAGCCAGCUGGGCUCCUGAGUCAGGUGGGGACUUGGAGAACUUUUAUGUCUAACUAAAGGUUUGUAAAUGUGCCAAUCAGCACUUUGUGGCUAGCUCAAGGUUUGUAAAUGCACCAGUCAGCACACUGUGGCUAGCUCAAGGUUUGUAAAUGCACCAAUCAGUGCUCUGUGUCUAGCUAAUCUAGUAGGGACUUGGAGAACUUUUAUGUCUAGCUAGAGGAUUGUAAAUACACCAAUCAGCACUCUGUAUCUAGCUCAAGGUUUGUAAACGCACCAAUCAGCACCCUGUGUCUAGCUCAAGGUUUGUAGACGCACCAAUCAGCACUCUGUGUCUAGCUUAAGGUUUGUAAAUACACCAAUCAGUGCUCUGUGCCUUGCUAAUCUAGUGGGGACUUGGAGAACUUUUACGUCUAGCUAGAGGAUUGUAAAUACACCAAUCAGCACUCUGUGUCUAGCUCAGGGAUAGUAAAUUCACCAAUCAGCAUGCUGCCAAAGCAGACCAAUCAGCUCUCUGUAAAAUGGGCCAAUCAGCAGGAAGUGGGUGGGGUCAGAUAAGGGAAUGAAAGCAGGCUGCUGGAGCCAGCAGUGGCAACCCAUUGGGGUCCCCUUCCACGCUGUGGAAGCUUUGUUCUUUUGCUCUUUGCAAUAAAUCUUGAUGCUGCUCACUCUUUGGUUCCACAUUGCCUUUAUGAGCUGUAACACUCACUGCAAAGGUCUGCAGCUUCACUCCUGAGGCCAGCGAGACCAUGAACCCACCGGGAGGAAUGAACAACUCCAGACGCGCCACCUCAAGAGCUGUAACACUCACCACGAAGGUCUGCAGCUUCACUCCUGAAGCCAGCGAGACCACGAACCCACCAGAAGGAAGAAACUCCGAACAAGUCCGAACAUCAGAAGGAACAAACUCUGGACCCACCACCUUUAAGAACUGUAAUACUCACCACGAGGGUCCGCGGCUUCAUUCUUGAAGUCAGUGAGACCAAGAACCCACCAAUUCCGGACACAAUAGGAAGCAAGAUCCCUCUUGGUGGUUGUAUAUUGCCUGGUCUACACGUGCUGCGUGGAACUGGGCUGUCCACCUGUGACUGUGCUGAGCCAAGCCAACAUAUUAAGCUGCACAAGAAAGACAGCAUUUGAAUGUUUGAAUUCACCAUGAAACUGCCCUAUUUCUAUAUUUUGUGCAAGGUUCACGUUUUCCCCAUUGUUUAAGCCAUUUUUGGUUGGAUAUUUUAUUAUUUGUACCCAAAAUUGUCUUAGCUAACAGACACUCAACUGUCUAUAUGCUCUUUAGCUCCAAUAGUGCUCUAAUUGUUUCAUCUCUACCAAGUUGAAAAUUUAUUUGAGCAGAGAAAAUAAUCACCAUAUUUUUCUGGUUAUAAUUCGUUUUUCAUAAUUUAAUGCUUCUAAAAUGAUCUAUCUUUCAAUGUAUGUAUUUAAUAUGAAAAUAUUUCUUUUUCCUGAAAAUAUAUUAUUGAAUUUAUAGCACAGAUUACAACAAUUAUGUCUUAAACUCUGAGAAAUGGGAUAGUAGAUUUCAGCUUUACCCCCAAGAAAAAGGAGAGUAUAGAAAAUGCCUAAGGAACUUGGUAGAGGGCAGGGUGCAGUGGCUUCUGCCUGUAAUCCCAGCAAUUUGGGAGGCCAAGGAGGGCGGAUCAUGAGGUCAAGAGAUUGAGAUCAGCCUGGCCAAGACGGUGAAACCCCAUCUCUACUAAAAAUACAAAAAUUAGCUGGGCGUGGUGGUGCGUGCCUGUAAUCCCAGCCCUACUCGGUAGGCUGAGGCAGGAGAAUCGCUUCAGCCUGGGAGGCGGAGGUUGGCAGUGAGCCGAGAUUGUGAGACUCAGUCGAAAAAGAAAGAAAGAAAGAAGGGAGGGAGGGAGGGAAGAAUCACAGACCAAAUUAAUUAACAUUGAUGUAAAAACUCUAAAGAUUAGCAAAUCCAACAUUGCAACGUUUUAUUUCUCCAUAAUGUUAAAGAGCCUUUUUUCUUUACACCAGCUUUACCAUUUUAUUACAUGUAUCUUAUAUUGCCACGAAGUUUGUUUACAUACAAUAAAGUGCAUGCAUUCUAAGUAUACAAUUCAGUGGGUUUUGGCAAAUGUAACCAACCAUGGUUACAUUCAGUCUCAAUAUAGAACAUUUCCAUCACCCUCCAAAAAUUCCCUGUGCUAUCUCUAUAUUUAUGUUAUGCAAGGCUCACAUUUGCCUCAUUAUUGAAAUCAUUGUUGGUUGGGUUUUGUAUUAUUUGUACCCCAAAUUGUCUUAACUAACAUAUACUCACCUGUUAAUCCCACAUGGUCAGCCCCUGGCAACCACAGGUCUGCUUUCUGUUACUACAGAUCAGUUUUGCCUGUUCUAGACGUAUAUGUAAAUGGACUCAUACAACAUGAACUCUGAAUGCUCCCUGCAUUCAGCACAGUGCAUUCCAGUCCUUUAUGUUGUCAUGUGUAUUGAUUUUUUUUUUCCGUUUCGUUGCUGCAUAGGAUUUCAUUGUAUCAAUAUGCCACUAUUGAUGUAUCCAUCCUCCGGCUGAGAGGCAUUGGGUUUGUUUCCGGUUGGGUUCUAAGCAGAUGCUUAGAGGGAGUUUGGGAUGCAGUGUGCUUGCUGGGGACCAACACCUGUGAAAAGAAGGGAGAGGAAGCAGGCUUGGGAAGACGGAGAAGGUAAACAGUGAUGUGGUCUGACCAAACCUUGGCCAGUGCUUCAGAAAGCCCAAGAGCGGGUGUGACCAUCAAAACUGUCCAGAGGCGGCACAAAUGGCUUUUUCUUCAUAGUCCCACCUCGCUCAGUGACAAGACAUGGGUCAUUCCACAAAGGGCAUGGGGCAUCCCCUAACGCAGCUGACACCUGGAAUUGACCAAACUCCCAGAGCUGGAUAGCAAGUCUCUGUUUGAAAGUGGACCUCAGUGGCUCAUCUCUCACCAACCAUUGGUUUGUUUCCAGUUUUUGUUUUUUGCUAUUGUCAAUAAAACUGCCAAAUAAGCAUUCACAUAUAAGUCUCCUUGUAGGCAUACUUACGUUUGUAUUUCUCUUGGGCAAAAACCUAGGAAUGGCAUUGCUGGGAUAUAUGGUAAGUGUAGAUUUAACUUUAUAAAAAACUGUAAACCAUGUUCCAAAGCUGUAGCACAAUUUUCCAUCAGCACCAGGAUAUCUGAGUGUCCCAUUGCUCCAUAUCAUUGCUAACUCUUGGUGUCAUCAGACUUCAAUUUCACCCACUCUGCUGGGGACACAGUGAUAGUUCAUUGUGGUUGUAAUUUGUAUUUCUCUGGUGGCAUGGUGGGGGUGAGCUGUUUUUCAUGUGCUCAUUGACCAUUGAUAUAUCUUCCUUUGUGAAAUAGCUGUCCAAAUUUUUUGCCCAGUUAAAAAAUUGAGUUAUUUGUCUUUUUAUAAUUGAGUUGCAAGAGUUAUUUGUAUAUAUCUUCUGGGGAAAAGUUUAUUGUCAGAUAUAUAUCACAUAUAAUAAAG